rnacentral:rRNA from 1 species
UGAGGAAUAUUGCACAAUGGACGCAAGUCUGAUGCAGCAACGCCGCGUGGAGGAUGAAGGCCCUUGGGUUGUAAACUCCUUUUUUCGGGGAAGAGAAUGGACGGUACCCGAAGAAUAAGUCACGGCUAACUACGUGCCAGCAGCCGCGGUAAUACGUAGGUGGCAAGCGUUAUCCGGAAUUACUGGGCGUAAAGCGCACGCAGGCGGUCUUGUAAGUUUGACGUGAAAGCUCCCGGCUUAACUGGGAGAGGUCGUUGAAUACUGCAAGACUUGAGUUUAGGAGAGGGGUGUAGAAUUCCCGGUGUAGUGGUGGAAUGCGUAGAUAUCGGGGGGAAUACCAGUGGCGAAAGCGGCACCCUAGCCUUUGACUGACGCUCAUGUGCGAAAGCGUGGGGAGCGAACGGG